GAUGAAGAACGCAGUGAAAUGCGAUAAGUAGUGUGAAUUGCAGAAUUCAGUGAAUCAUCGAAUCUUUGAACGCACAUUGCGCCCUUUGGUAUUCCUUAGGGCAUGCCUGUUCGAGCGUCAUUUACAAAUUCAAGCUCAGCUUGGUGAUGGGUGUCUGUCCCGCCUUUGCGUGUGGACUCGCCUCAAAUGCAGUUGGCAGCUUGUUCCUCGGCUCUAAACGCAGCAGAUUUGCGUCGAGCGUCGUGCGGACGGGCUCUCCAGUAAGCAAACCCCCACAAAUUGACCUCGGAUCAGGUAGGGAUACCCGCUGAACUUAAGCAUAUCAAUAAGCGGAGGA
rnacentral:misc_RNA from 1 species